rnacentral:tRNA from 1 species
GUGGCCGUGCCGACUAUCGGUACGUCGGGCAUGACUGUGACUCAUGUCUCUUGUGGGUUCAACUCCCACCGGCCACCCCA